rnacentral:rRNA from 1 species
UUGUAUGUACCCUGAGAAUAAGGAUCGGCUAACUCCGUGCCAGCAGCCGCGGUAAUACGGAGGAUCCGAGCGUUAUCCGGAUUUAUUGGGUUUAAAGGGUGCGUAGGUGGAUUGAUAAGUCAGCGGUGAAAGUUUGCAGCUUAACUGUAAAAUUGCCGUUGAAACUGUCGGUCUUGAGUGCAAAUGAGGUAGGCGGAAUGUGUUGUGUAGCGGUGAAAUGCUUAGAUAUAACACAGAACUCCGAUUGCGAAGGCAGCUUACUGGGAUGCAACUGACACUGAUGCACGAAAGCGUGGGUAUCAAACAGGAUUAGAUACCCUGGUAGUCCACGCAGUAAACGAUGAAUACUAGCUGUAUGCGAUAUACCGUAUGUGGCACAGCGAAAGCGUUAAGUAUUCCACCUGGGGAGUACGUUCGCAAGAAUGAAACUCAAAGGAAUUGACGGGGGCCCGCACAAGCGGAGGAACAUGUGGUUUAAUUCGAUGAUACGCGAGGAACCUUACCCGGGCUUGAAAUGCAGAAGACCGAAGUGGAAACACUUCUUCCAGCAAUGGCUUCUGUGUAGGUGCUGCAUGGUUGUCGUCAGCUCGUGCCGUGAGGUGUCGGCUUAAGUGCCAUAACGAGCGCAACCCUUGCCAAUAGUUACUAUCAGGUUAUGCUGAGGACUCUAUUGGGACUGCCAUCGUAAGAUGCGAGGAAGGUGGGGAUGACGUCAAAUCAGCACGGCCCUUACGUCCGGGGCGACACACGUGUUACAAUGGGGGGUACAGAGGGUUGCUACCUGGUGACAGGAUGCUAAUCUCAUAAAUCCUCUCUCAGUUCGGAUCGAAGUCUGCAACUCGACUUCGUGAAGCUGGAUUCGCUAGUAAUCGCGCAUCAGCCAUGGCGCGGUGAAUACGUUCCCGGGCCUUGUACACACCGCCCGU